rnacentral:rRNA from 1 species
CAACUGGAGAGUUUGAUUCUGGCUCAGAUUGAACGCUGGCGGCGUGCUUAACACAUGCAAGUCGAACGAGAAAGUUCCUUCGGGAAUGAGUAGAGUGGCGCACGGGUGAGUAACGCGUGGAUAAUCUACCGGGGAGUGUGGAAUAACAGUUGGAAACGACUGCUAAUACCGCAUACGCUACAUAUUUAUCUAUGUAGGAAAGGGGGCCUCUGCAUAUGCUUCCGCUUUUCGAUGAGUCCGCGUCCCAUUAGCUAGUUGGCGGGGUAACGGCCCACCAAGGCGACGAUCAGUAGCCGGACUGAGAGGUUGGCCGGCCACAUUGGGACUGAGACACGGC